rnacentral:rRNA from 1 species
CAGGCUGCAACUCGCCUGCACGAAGUCGGAAUUGCUAGUAAUCGUAGGUCAGCAUACUACGGUGAAUACGUUCCCGGGCCUUGUACACACCGCCCGUCAAACCACGAGAGUUGGCAACACCCGAAGUCAGUAGCCUAACCGCAAGGAGGGGCGCUGUCGAAGGUGGGAUUGAUGACUGGGGUGAAGUCGUAACAAGGUACC